rnacentral:ncRNA from 1 species
GAAAAAGCGUUGAUAAGGAGAAGUAAGUGGCGCAUGCUCUUAAGAGAGGACCAUCACCGGCUGAAAGUGGUCUGAGCCCAGGCAAAACUGAAAUGCACCUUUGAGCAUAGAGCUGAACUAUAGUAGGCUUUAUCGAGUCGUUCCCGUUAAAGAACGUCCAGAGUGGAAGGCAUCUUUGCCUUCAAACAGAGUGGAACCACGCAUUUUAAGCGUCUCUGUC